UUGGAAGGAAACUUUCACUACGUAAGCCCCAAAAGCCAAAACGACAUGUUGAAACUCAUUGCAUCUAACAUUCAGAAGAGAAUUACGACAGCUGUCAAACACUGCGGCUUCUUUGGACUAAUAUGUGACGAGUCACAAGACAUAUCAAGGGUAGAACAAAUGUCUGUCAAUGUAAGGUUUGUAACAGACAGCCUGAAUGUAGAGGAGAGGUUUCUUGGAUUUUGGCCUUUAAAAGGUACUGACGGAGAAAGUCUGUUUCAGCAACUGACGCAAGUUUUGCUUGAGACGGGCCUAUCAAUGUCUAUGGUACGGGCACAGUGUUAUGAUGGAGCGUCAAGCAUGUGCGGGAAGCACUCAGGUUUAGCUACCAGGCUUCAGGAGGUCGAGAAGAAAGCUGGAUAUGUGCAUUGCCAUGCCCACAGAUUGAACCUCAGUCUUCAAAACAGCUGCGAGAACGUUACAGAUGUGCGAAACGUUCUAGGUGCUGUUUCCAGUCUCUAUAAUUUACUUGAAGGAUCAGCCAAGAGACAUGAAAAGUUUCAAGAUGUGCAACGAAGACAGAACGAAGGAAAGGGCCCGCAAGCAGUACUCCAACGACCAUGUCAUACUAGGUGGGGUUCCAGGCACGCAGCAGUCCAUACUGUUAGGCAACAGUUUGCAUCAAUUCUGAUUGCUCUGGACGAACUCUCUGACGAUGCUGCGAUCGGAAGUGAAGCUCACUGUUUACUGACUGUUGUAUCUUCAUUCAAUUUUCUCUUCUAUGUGUCCGUUCUAGACACUCUACUAGGAUUAAUCUCUCAUCUAUCCCAGUACCUGCAGGGAGAGAACGUAGAUCUUCAGGCAGCAAAAAGAUCAGCUGAUAGCGUCAUUGCUACUCUACAAAGUUUCAGAACAAAUGAAAGUUUUGAGAAUUUCUGGCAGUCAUCGGAGAAAGAGAGUAAAGCAAAAAACCUGACUCCACCAGCUCUCCUUCGAGCUCGUCGACCUUCUCACCGAAUUGACGAACGAAGCACGACCCAAUAUCAGCCACUGUCACCAAAAGAACGUUAUCGACAAGCAUAUUAUGAAUUAUUGGAUAUCAUGGUAUCAGACCUAACUCGACGCUUUUGUAGCAAAGAUUACCGUGUGUUCUGUGGAAUUGAGAAGUUGUUGUCCGAGUCAGUCUCGUUAUCGGCGCCAGAUCAGUCGCUUGUGAGUGAGAUAUUACACUUUUACACAGGUGACUUUGACAACACUCAGUUCACGUCUGAAAUAAGAGUAUUUUACAAUUAUUCUAAACUGCACUUUUCUAAAGACGUUGUGGAGACCGGCAACAUAGGUGCUCUUGCUCGUCAGUUUGUUUCUCUCCGUUGCACAGAAUUGUUUCCCCAAGUCUUCAAACUGUUCAAGUUGUUUCUCUGCAUUCCUGCUACAUCUUCAACUGCAGAGCGGUCGUUUUCUGCUCUAAGGCGACUAAAAUCAUGGCUGCGAACUAGGAUGGCUGACGAGCGCCUCCGGUCCCUUGCUCUGAUGUGCUUCGAAUGCGACAUUGCUAAGGAACUGGAGAGUAAUAUUGAUGAUCUUGUUUCACAAUUUGGUGCUCUUUGUGACAGACGUCUUCCUCUACAAUAGUUAGUAAACUUUUUGUAAUGUUGAUAUUAAAAAGAAUUUAAUAUAUAUGACGCCAUGAAUUACGUCACAUAUCUCAGCUUCAAAUUUGCGCCCCCCCACUUUUGGGACCCAUGUGACGCCCUUGCUGAAGCUCUUCCACUUCUUGAAAGUCUGACCACAGCCUUCAUGGCGACAGUGAACAACAAAAUUGGGAUGAUGCUGAUGAACUGUGCGAGCGUGAUUCAGUAAACCAAAGCUUGACCGUGCCCUGUAGUUGCACAUGGAACACGAAGCCAUAACUAUCGGUUUCCACUUCCGGAACAAACGAGAUCCCGGAAGACACGCCUUGUUGCGCAGCUGAACAAAAAAGCGCGCGCUGCUGACCUCGUGAAAGACCACAACGAAAGGACAGUUUCUGUGAGCUAACGUACACGGCAAUGGAUCUCGAUGAUAUGUCUGUGGCAGGCGUGUCGGCUUGGCUAGCGAGGAGGUCGUUUAGUGAAAGAGUUCGAGCCUUUUUUGCAGGUGCGUGAUGCAGACUUCUCUGUAUCUAGAGAGAAUGAAAUCGAUGGAACGGCCCUUAGAAGCCUACUUCAAGACCAAGCAGAAUUGAAGACAGCUCUGCCUAUUAUGGGAGACAGACUUCGAUUGAAACGAGCGGUUUCGGACGAUUUCUGCAUUGUAAGUGCAUUGAUUUUGCUAGAUGCUCUACUACGAAAGAACUGUGUAGAUGUGAUGGAGUCACGUGAUUACGGAUAAUACGUGAGGAUGUGGGUGUGCUAGCCUCGCGUUCCAGUAUAUCCAUAUAGCGAUAUUUAACCAACCGAUUACUGAAAUGAUUGCAAUUAUAACUGCAUGCAUAUUAACGUUACAUGAGCAUUUCAUUUCCUAGAAUAUAUCAUCCUCUACUCUUGUGUGUGUGUGGCUAUACAGGGUUGGAUUGAAGGUUCAUCCUCAUCAACGACUUUGUCUACUAGUAGUACUGUUGGAACACCAAACGAAGAGAGUUCAGAUGUCUAUGAAAUGUUAGAUGUGCCUGGUUGUUUGGAGACGGAAACAGCUGCUGAUUCUGAUAAAGAAGAAAGAGAAGUUCAAGAGGAUACGCCACCUCCCAAGAAAAUGAAGAUUUCAGCAUCUAUUCCUGAUCCAUUUGUGUUUCCCAAAAUUUAUCCGGCAAGAAUACAGCAAGCUGUUGUUUCUGGUAAAAUCUAUGGGACGGAUCGCUUAGCAUUCAUUAGAUAUAUAAGUGACUUCAUGGCGGGAUAUAGUAGCUUCCCAUCACCAUCUGAGUACCAGCGUGUGGCAUGCGAUAUUGUUGAAAAAUAUCCAUGUCUGGCAGACAAGUUGCAAGGACAGCCAGUAUGGACAACUGUCAAGGUUCAGCUGUCACAGCGAUUUAGAAACAUACGGAGCUAUUCCAGAAAGUCUUUUCAGAGCACUGGCCAGGGCAGAAGGAAAGCAAGGGCAGGGACUACUUCAUCGGCUCGUCUUGAUGAUUGUCUAGUGGCAAAUGAUGCUGACACGAGCAACGAAUCUAUGUCAUCUGACAUUGUCUCGUAUGAUAGAAAUGUUGCAUAGAUGAAAGCAGAAUGCAUGUCCAAAACACCAAAUAGACAAGCACUGACCACUCUAAUGGAGACAACUUUCUUACCUCGAAGGCAGUGAAUAGAAAAGGAAGCUCAGUCGAUCAAAAGUAUUAUGCAAAUGUUUCCAUGUCUCAAAUCAAAGCCAAUGCUUAUGAGUGAAUUUGAACGAAUCACUGGAGAAGGGAUGGUCCUAGUUGCUAUGGGCAGAUGGGACUUAUUGAUGAAAGUGCUGGGAUGCGAGCCCAACAACAUAGGUGAAGAAGUCGAAGCUGUUCACACGAUGGAGAAAGAAGUCAUGUCUCUGAAAAUGAAGAAGAAGGGAAUCAAUUCAAUAAUGAAGAAAAUCACGUCAUCUGGAGAUGGAGAAGAAGACAUUUUUACAGUUUCUCCAACAGUGACUGUUUUGGAACAAGUUGAAAGGGCAGCGAGAAUCAUCACACUGAUCGGUGCUGAAAAGACCCUUGUCGCUAAAUUGUCAGAGCCAGAACAACUUAUGGCAAAGACACUGACAACGUUAUUGGCUAUCUACUAUGUCUAUGACGUGAGCUACCGAGAAGAACAUUACUCUUUCUUGUGCCUGAUGCAAGAUGUCCUUUUGAGGGUCGCUGACAAAAGUUCAAGACCAACACGAACGAGGUCUUACGCUGCUUACCUGAUCAACGAAAUGGAUGAGCUUGCGAGUCAACAAGGACACUAGUAGCUGACUCUGUAACAGUUUGUUUUGCUUUAAAUAGAAGGUUGUGUUAUAGUCAGUUGGCUAUCAAUAGCAAAUUUGUGAAAGAAUUUUUAGUAGAUUGGAAGUGUAGAAAUAACACAGUUGGGCGUGUUGAACAACACACCUUCAGCAAAUAA